rnacentral:rRNA from 1 species
UACGGAGGGUGCAAACGUUGCUCGGAAUCAUUGGGCGUAAAGAGCUUGUAGGCGGUUUGUCGCGUCUGCUGUGAAAUUUCGGGGCUCAACCCCCGAACUUGCAGUGGGUACGGGCAGACUAGAGUGUGGUAGGGGAGACUGGAAUUCCUGGUGUAGCAGUGAAAUGCGCAGAUAUCAGGAGGAACACCGAUGGCGAAGGCGGGUCUCUGGGCAGUAACUGACGCUGAGGAGCGAAAGCGUGGGGAGCGAACAGG